UACAAAACAGGGCUGGGGAUGUGGCUCAGUGGUCAAGUGUAACUGACUUUCCCCACAAGAAUGUGGGUCCCAGGAGGGCAGGAUUUGGGUCUCCCUGGCUCACUCUGUAUCCCCAGCACCCCUCACAAUGGCUGGCAUCGAGUAGGUGUGCAAUAAAUACUUGUUGGUUGAGUGAAAGAAUUCUGAGUUCUGACUGUGCUCUUGGCCAGCCCUGCCCUGGGCACCACGGAGGAGGGAGAGCAAGAGGAUCGAGGUCCCAGCCCUCCAAGCGUGCCUGCCCAGCUGGUUCCAGCACAGUGGGACAGGUCUCUGACAGCCAGGUGAGUCCUGGGUGAAUCACCGCUAAUGAGACGGUGAGAGCCACGCCAAGCGGCUUCCCACACAGGCAGCCGACAGGUCACUGCCUGUCGCCAGGAAACUCCUCAGUAAGGAUUGAGCAGGACCCUGGGCUGGGUGGAGGAAGUGUCCUCCUCCUCUGGAGACCGACCCAUUCCUGAGGACUGAGUGGUUCACCUGGGCUCUCCACGCCCCCAGGCCUUGGCAGGACUCUGGUUUCUCAACCUUGGCCCUGAGAUCUUCCUAAAAGGAGUUUCGCUCACUCGGCCCACGCCCCUCCUUGCCAGGGCCUGUUUGUCAACUAGCCCUCUCUGAGUCCCUGGGACGACAGAGGGAAGACAGCUGAGUCUGGCCAGCGCUAGGACCCUCCACGGACCAGCGGCCUGCAGGAGGGUCCAUCAGUCAGUUCAUUAAGUGUAGGGAUAGGAUCAAUGGUGGGGUGACCUCCACCACCACGGUACUCCUGCCUGGUUGGAGCCCAGGGCCCAUGAGGGCGCCUGCCCGAGCCCAGGCCAGCUGACCAUGCCAGGGCAGGGCCUCUUACCCUCAUCUGCAGCACGCGGCAGAGUCUCCUGCUCUGUGGGUGGCUGCAGGGCUGAGAUGAGAUCAUGGACACACAGAGCAAGGAACGCAGGUGGGUCCCCAGGCCUCACCCCGCAGCCCAGGGCAUGUGGCGAGGGCAAGCAGCAGAUGCCCGGGAAGAGGCUGGCCAGGUCCCAGUCCCCUGGUGACCUUGGCCAAUGCAGAGUGUCUCCCGCCCCCUCAGGUGGGGCACUUGAGGCCCUCCCUCCCCAGAACCAAACAGCCCAAGACUAAAGUUGGAGUUGUUUGUGUCUAUAGCAAAGACGGUCAGCCAUAGCUCAGUGUCAAGGGCUGCUGUCAUCCCAGGAGGGGACCGGCAUGGAAACACCAGCAGGCCCUGGGCACACAGGCUUUUCUCUAUGGGACUCUCUGGGGUCAAGGAAGGAGUGUCGCCCCGGCAAGACUGAGGUCCCUGCAGCCUCAUGGAGGGGCUGGACGUGGGCAAGACUCCUCUGGCCUAUGUUUGGCAUCGAAUCCUCACUGGCCAGGCGCAGUGAUGCCCACAGCACAGAUAUCGUCACGCCCAUUUUAUAGAUGAUAAAGGCUUAAAGCGGUGAGCGACGUGUCCUAGGUCACUUGACGGCGAGUGGCAGGGGUGCCUCUGAAUCUCCACCCUGGGCUGUGGUCUCUUGCGCCCGCCUUGAGUUCCUUGCUCUCUUCAUCUGUACGGCAGACGUUACACGGUGCUUACCCCAUGCCAGGCACAGCCUACCAGCUGGGGACCUAGAGGUAUCAGGCAGCGUCUGGAGGGGAGUCACAACAGGCACCAUUCAUUCAGCUAUCCCUUCUGCAGUGUUCCCUGAGCACCUACUGUGAACCUGCAGUCUACCAGGUGCUGGGAUCCAGAAGCCAACAACAUAGACUGCUGCCCUCACGGAGGCUUUCUUCUCCUGGGGAAGGCAGAUAGUAAUCCAAUCAGGGAGCAGUGUUCUGCAGAAACACCACUGAGGUAAGAGAACAAACAGGAGUCAGGGUGCUAUUUUAGAGGGGGUGCUGAAGGAGGGCCUUUCCAAAAUAUUUGCUUGUGGUUAUGUAUAACUUUCAAACAGAAGAGCCCUGUAAAUGUCUGAGGAAACAAAGGUGGGGGUGGGGGCAACAUGUGCAAAGGCCCUGUGGCAGGAAUGUGCUUGGAGGUGCUUUGAGGGAAGAAGGGAAUCUAGUAGGGAAGAGCAGUGGCGGUGAGUUAGACUGGUAGGAAGGAGGCAAUGGGAGUGGGGAGGCACAGAUCCUAGAGGCUUGUAGUUCAAGGUAAGGUCUUUACCCCACCCCUCACUCCAAGUGGGAUGGGAAAGGCUGGAAGAUUUUUGAGCUGAGAAUUGAUCUGAGCUGACCUUGGGUCCCCCCCCCCCUUUUUUUCCCCUCAGUAGUGCCAGAGAUGGAACCCAGGGCCUUGCACACGUUAGGCAAAUGCUCUGCCCCUGAGCUACACCCCAGCCCUUGAGCUAGGUUUUAAAAGAAUUGCUUUGAUCGCUUCUUGGCCUCUGGCUAGGAUCAAGUGUAGUAAAACAGUCACUCUGGUGCUGUGGAGGCUUUAAGGGGGCAGGGGUCUGGGAGAGGCAAUGAGCUAUCGGUGGUCGGUGGUCGUGGUGGCCAGGGAAGGAGAGCUUCAUGGAGGAUGUAUUCUGGAGCACUGGGAAUGGGAGCCAGGGGUGCUCUGCCGCUGACCUGCAUCCCUAGGCCCUCCACCCCCACUUUUUAAUUUUUAUUUUUACACAGGGUCCUGCUAACUUGCCCACGUUGGCCUCAAACUGAGAUUACAGCCGUGCCCCUGGCAUCCAGCAGGAGGUAUUUUGAAGGUAGUCCCAGGCUGACCGUGGGGUAGGGGAGGGUGAGGGGUCAAGACAAUCUGGGCUCCAAGAAGAGGAGGUCGACUCUGCCCAGGUUUGAUGUGAGUUGGGCCCAGCAGACUGCCACCACACUCCCACCCUGGCUGGUACCAUCUACCAGUGCAGCCUUUUUGGAAAGUGUUAAUGCCCUUUGACCAGUGAGUCCCCUUCUAGAAAGUUCUCCUGAGCAAGCCAUCAGAAAUGAAGGAAGCACCCGGCCUCCUGCCUUCACUGCAGAGUUAUUGAGAAGAGCUAAAUAAAUAAAUAAACAGCCUGCGGUCCAACAGCUAGGACCUGUUUGAACCAAGUGGACCCAUCCUUGAACCUUGCACUUGACAGAUUCAGGUUUUGUGUGUGGGCGGGCGUGGGGGAGGGUACUGGGGAUUGAACUCAGGGGCACUCAACCACUGAGCCACAUGCCCAGACCUACUUUGUAUUUUAUUCAGUGACAGGGUCUCACUGAGUUGCUUAGGACCUCACUUUUGCUGAGGCUGGCUUUGAACUUGUGAUCCUCUUGUCGCAGCUCAGCUGCUGGGAUUACAGGUGUGCACUACUGUGCCCAACCUCAGGUUUCAUGUUUCUUUCUUUUUUUUUUUAAUAUUUAUCUUUUAGUUUUAAGUGGACACAAUAUCUUUAUUUUACAUUUACGUGGAGCUGAGGAUAGAACCCAAUGCCUCAUGCAUGGUAGGCGAGCGCUCUACCACUGAGCCACAAUCCGAGCCCCAGAUUCAUGUUUCUUAAGAGGGUUUUUGGGUUUUGUUUCUGGUGCUGGGGAUUGAACCCAGGGGUGCUGUACCACUGAGCUACAUCCCAACCCUUCUUACUUUGAAUUUUGUGGCCGAAUUAUUAUCAUUAUUAUUGCAGAGCUGAGGAUUGAACCCCUGCUAAACAAGUGCUCUACCACUGAGCAAUACCCCCAGCCCCUUGAGACAGAGUCUUGCCAAAUUGCUGAGGCUGACCUUGAACUCAAAACUCCCCUGCCACAGCCUCCCAAGUAGCAGGGAUUAUAGGUACGCACACAGAACCCAGCUCUCCCAAGAGUUUUAAUGUCAAAGGACAAGACUUAUGCUACAAUGUCAAGUGGAUGCAAUAUUUUGCAGAGGCAGACACAUAUACAGAAAAGAAAUACACUAAACUCUCCCCCCUUUUUUUCAUUGCCAGGGAUCAAAGCCCGGGUGUCCAGCAUGCCGGGCAAAGGUUCUACCAGAGCUGCACUCCCAGCCCAGAAAAAAACUAACCACGAUUUUCUCCGGAUCUUGGGUCACUAUCAUUUUCUUUUUUACACUUUUCUGCAUUGUAUUGAUGUUCUAAGAUGGCCUCGAGUUACCUUUCUGACAGUGUGAUUAAAAUCUCGUUUUAAAAAAGGAAAGAGAGGAAAUGUGAGUUCCCAGAAGCGGAGGCGCUGCCGAGGCCAGGCAGGAACGAGAACCGACCAGCCCAUCUCUUCCAGGGAAAGCUGCGGCCACGUGGACUGAGGCAGUCCCCGCCGGCCCGCGCCCUGGUUACCCCCCCCCCCCCAGGACUGCAGGCGCCCGGCGGGGCGGGGCGGGAACAGUUGCUGCAGGACAGAGCGAGCUCCACGUGGCCCUCCUUCUCCCCUUCCUGCCGCCUAGGCCGAGCAUUGGCUCUCUCCAGACCCCUGCAGCCUUGGAGUGGCCCCCCAUCUCCUCGGCCUCCAUUCUGUCCUUGUGGGAGGCCCUGCUCGUGAAUGGAGUGUCUCCCCUGACUUGAUUAUAAAAAUCGUGAUUCCCAAAGUGGUCCCCUGGAGGAGCAGCAGGAGCAACACCUUCCCAGGUCCCGCCCCAGGCCGAGGGGGUCUGGGUCUCUGGAGGUGGGGCCGGCGACUGUCUGCC
rnacentral:lncRNA from 1 species